CAGAGGGAUAAAGUUACAUGUUGACAUUUGAUGUAGCAAGGCACAGUGGCACAUGCCUGUAAUUCCAGUAACUUUGGAGGCUGAGACAGGAGGAUCCCAAAUUUGAAGACAGCCUUACCAACUAAAUGAGGACUUAAGCAAUGUAGGAAGAACCUGUCUCAAAAUAAAAAAUAAAAAAGGACUGAGGAGGGCUGGGGGAUGUGUCUUAGUUGAUAUAGUGCUUGCCUUGCAUGUACAAGGCCCUGGGUUUGAUCUCCAGCAUCACAUACACAGAAAAUAAUCAUAAGGGUGGAGCUUCCACAAGCAUGGAUCACUUAGUCACUGCAUGGAGAAAAGUUGCCCUGCCUAUGUCAGAAAUUGUAUUUUGUUAAGCCAUUGCUGUGUCAGCCCAGUGCCCACCCCCUACCCUUUUUCUGGUACUUGGGAUUGAAACCAGAGGGGCACUUAACCACUGAGCCACAUCCCCAGCCCAUUUUUAUUUAUUUAUUUAUUUGAUACUGGGGAUUGAACUCAGGGGCACUCAACCACUGAGCCACAUCCCCAACCCUAUUUUGUAUUUUAUUUAGAGACAGGGUCUCACUGAG
rnacentral:lncRNA from 1 species